CUUCCUACGGGGCGCAGCAGUGGGGGAUAUUGCACAAUGGGGGGAACCCUGAUGCAGCGACGCCGCGUGGGUGAAGGAGUGCUUCGGCAUGUAAAGCCCUAUCGGCAGGGAAGAAGCAAGACGGUACCUGACUAAGAAGCCCCGGCUAACUACGUGCCAGCAGCCGCGGUAAUACGUAGGGGGCGAGCGUUAUCCGAGUUCACUGGGUGUAAAGGGAGCGUAGACGGCCACGCAAGCCAGGGGGGAAAGCCCGGGGCCCAACCCCGGGCCUGCCCUUGGAACUGCAUGGCUGGAGUGCGGGAGGG
rnacentral:rRNA from 1 species